CCUGAUCCUUUUCAUGGGUUCCCGUGUUUGCUGAAGUGACUCCUUUGUCGUCUCUCUAACCGUUUGUCUCUAUGUAGUUGGUGGGUUGGGAGUUGAGACAGGGUCCCCUCUGUAUGUAUGAAAAUGCUGUCCUGGAACUUGCUACAUAGACCAGGCUACCCUGAAACUGAGAGAUUCACCUGUGUCCAGCUCUGGGAUGAAAAGUGUGAGCCGCCACUCCCCGUUGUCACUUUUGAAGUAUGGCACUUUUAUUGGAGCACAAAGUGUUUGUCACAUGAAUGUAUCCUUGCAGGAUUUGAACUUUGGACUCAGGAGCCCCAAGAGUCUGAAGCUUCUGAAAACUGCUCAGUACUGUGUGACAUCACAGUACUUAUUAGCCCGAGAAGCACUUACUGUGUGUUGCCAGAGAGAUGAGAGGAAUUUGUACUCAGGUUCGGGGCGCUGUUGCUGGUGGAUCUUUCUAGGGAUUUCCAAUGGUGCUGAUCGUCAGAGAAAGAAGACUAGCUGUAAGGUGACAGGUUGCUUUUAGUCCUGGUCAUUGUCACAGUGGUAGAAAGCAAACUGGAAAGCCUUGUUCCCAAAGAAUUAGUGUGCCCUGUAAGCUUCAGCCUUUGAGAGAAGGCAGUGCCCUAAAGAGGCAUUGAACAUGAAUUGUUGAUGGUAACGUAAUUUUCAGUAAUGUGAAUUUUGCUAAAGCUUCAGGAGUUGCUAAGCCUUUGUUAAAGGUUUUAGAUGGCUGGUUUAUCUUAGUCUCCUGCA
rnacentral:lncRNA from 1 species